rnacentral:lncRNA from 1 species
UUAGUGAUUAUGAUCUGAGCACGGGGUUUCUGGCACAUAAAUAUGUGUAAACCCUUUUAUUGGACCCAACUGUAGUUGUGGGGGAACGGAUCGUAAUCCGCCCUAUCGAGUUCAGUACCAGAUACCUCUGAACCAACUAACAGUGGGUAAGUUUUUCUUUUUGUAGAAAUUUUUUACAAUUCUUUGGUUUAAAUGACUUUGUGAGGGUCACUUAUUCCGGAGUUGCCUUUUUGCUUUCUUUUAU